UACUCCAGAGCCUUGAAGAUUCUGAAAUGUUUUGGGUAGAGUUGUGCUUAGAUUUGGCAGAGACUGCUAGAGCCAAGGUUAAAAACUAUUAAGUCCCUACUCUGUGCCCAGUGUCCUGUUUGAUGUGUAUGGAUACAAAGAACCAUGACCUAGUCCCUGCCCAGUGGGGGCCCUGAGAGUGAAUUUGUGUUACAUAGUUAGAAGUGCUUAGAAAGUACUUGCUUGGUGAUGUUAACCGAGUGAGAUUAGCUUUAUUUUAAAAGAAAAAUUCAGAGGGAUGGGAGAGAGGGAGAGCAGGAGAGAGCGAGAGAGAGAUCAUUAAUAUAGUCCCUUAAGAGACAUCCUACCUGCCUGCAUUGGCCUAUGAAUGCUCUGUUAUUGAAACUCGAAUGCAGAGGUCCCAGACUGUGGUCAGCACUGUUGAAGGCAGAGUUCCUGCAUUGAAUGGAAGUGUGACCAUUAAGGCCCCUUCCAAAGCAGGCUAUUAGAGACCAUGCAGCCAGCCCAGCAGAACUGUACCCCAGGCCUUCAGUACUUGCUCUGUUGAGAGCACUCUUGGGGGACAAGAUUGUAACACACCAGCAGAUUCUGUCUCUGAUUUCAGUGUCUUCUGCUUCGUUUUGUAGAGUCUCUGCCCUAUGGAAUUAGGGAGUCAGGAUAGUGAGUGUGUUCUCCCUUGCGCCUCUGCCCGACUGAGGGCACAGGAUUUAGGAACAAGAUGCAGGUUCCUCACUGGGAAUUUGCAUUAAACUCUAAACCCCUUUUCACUCCAUGGGCAAUUACAGGAACCCCUCUCCAUUUGGGAUGCCCUGUCCAGGUUUAUUCCUUUUAAGACUCUCAUUCAGACAAAAUGACAAGGCCAGCCAGGAGUUUGGAAGUGAUGUCAUAUUUCAGUUUUUAUCGACUAAGAAGUCAGAAUAAAGACUAAGAGCUGGAGUUAUAAAGAAGGCAGACUUGGCCAGCUUCACAAAGUACUGCCAGUAACUCCAACCGCAGCACGCCGGCCUGCUCCCCCAUCCUCCGGAAGCGGUCCCGCUCGCCAACACCACAGAACCAGGACGGAGACACCAUGGUGGAGAAGGGCUCAGACCACUCCUCGGACAAGUCCCCAUCCACCCCGGAGCAGGGUGUGCAACGCAGUUGCUCCUCACAAUCUGGUCGGAGUGGCGGUAAAAAUUCCAAGAAAAGCCAGAGUUGGUACAAUGUGUUAAGCCCCACUUACAAGCAGAGAAAUGAAGACUUCAGAAAACUCUUUAAGCAACUUCCAGACACGGAGCGCCUCAUUGUUGAUUACUCAUGUGCACUCCAAAGAGACAUUCUUCUUCAGGGCCGACUCUACCUCUCAGAAAACUGGAUCUGCUUCUACAGCAACAUCUUCCGAUGGGAAACUCUGCUGACAGUCCGUUUGAAAGAUAUCUGCUCCAUGACUAAAGAGAAAACAGCUCGCCUCAUUCCCAACGCCAUCCAAGUCUGUACUGAUUCAGAAAAGCACUUUUUUACUUCAUUUGGGGCCCGGGAUAGGACAUACAUGAUGAUGUUCCGGCUCUGGCAGAAUGCUCUUCUUGAAAAGCCACUGUGCCCCAAGGAGCUCUGGCACUUUGUCCACCAGUGCUAUGGGAAUGAGCUGGGUCUCACUAGUGACGAUGAGGACUACGUGCCCCCAGAUGAUGACUUCAACACCAUGGGCUACUGUGAAGAGAUCCCUGUAGAAGAGAACGAAGUGAACGACAGCUCAUCCAAAAGCAGCAUAGAGACCAAGCCUGAUGCCAGCCCCCAGCUGCCCAAGAAGUCCAUCACCAACAGCACACUGACCUCUACGGGAAGCAGUGAAGCCCCUGUCUCGUUUGACGGCUUGCCGCUGGAGGAAGAGGUGAUGGAGGGUGAUGGGUCCUUGGAGAAGGAGCUUGCCAUUGACAACAUCAUAGGAGAGAAGAUUGAAAUUAUUGCGCCUGUGACCUCCCCUUCACUGGACUUCAAUGACAAUGAGGAUAUCCCCACCGAGCUCAGUGAUUCUUCAGAUACCCACGACGAAGGAGAGGUCCAGGCCUUCUAUGAGGACCUGAGUGGAAGACAGUACGUGAACGAGGUCUUCAACUUCAGCGUGGACAAACUCUAUGACCUGUUGUUCACCAACUCACCCUUCCUUCGGGACUUCAUGGAGCAGCGGCGCUUCUCUGAUAUCAUCUUCCAUCCGUGGAAAAAGGAGGAAAAUGGAAACCAGAGCCGAGUGAUCCUGUACACUAUCACCCUUACUAACCCCCUGGCUCCCAAAACCGCCACUGUCCGGGAGACACAGACCAUGUACAAAGCAAGCCAGGAGAGUGAAUGCUACGUGAUAGAUGCUGAAGUCCUUACCCACGACGUGCCAUACCAUGACUACUUCUACACCAUCAAUCGCUACACGCUCACCCGCGUGGCCCGGAACAAGAGUCGACUCAGGGUCUCCACAGAGCUCCGCUAUCGAAAACAGCCCUGGGGGUUUGUAAAAACUUUCAUCGAGAAGAACUUCUGGAGUGGACUGGAGGACUACUUCCGCCAUUUAGAGUCUGAGCUAACCAAAACAGAGAGUACCUACCUGGCUGAAAUGCACAGACAGUCCCCUAAGGAGAAAGCCAAUAAGUCUUCAGCAGUACGGAGGAGGAAGCGUCCCCAUGCCCAUCUGCGGGUUCCUCACCUGGAAGAGGUCAUGAGCCCUGUCACCACACCCACCGAUGAAGAUGUGGGCCACAGGAUCAAGCACGUGGCAGGUUCUACGCAGACGCGGCAUAUCCCCGAGGACACUCCCAAUGGUUUUCACCUACAAAGUGUGUCCAAGCUGCUGCUGGUUAUCAGCUGUGUUCUGGUGCUGCUGGUCAUCCUUAACAUGAUGCUCUUUUACAAGCUGUGGAUGCUGGAAUACACCACACAGACCCUCACUGCCUGGCAGGGUCUCAGGCUCCAGGAAAGGUUACCCCAGUCUCAGACGGAAUGGGCCCAGCUAUUAGAAUCCCAACAAAAGUACCAUGAUACCGAGCUCCAGAAGUGGAGGGAGAUCAUCAAAUCCUCAGUGAUGCUCCUUGACCAGAUGAAGGAUUCACUCAUCAACCUUCAGAACGGCAUCAGGUCCCGAGACUACACAUCGGAAAGCGACGAGAAGAGGAACCGCUAUCAUUGACAAGGACCAGGGGUGGCUGCAAGAGGCCUGUGCAAUACAUGAGAAGAAGCCACAGCUUCCUGUCUUAGAAUGAGAAUAGAGAGACUAAGCCUGGAAAAAGCCAACAAGGAGAGCCAGGCAGAUACCCUGGAGCCCUAGGAGUGGGACAAACAAACGUCUGUCACGCGUACCUGAAACAAAAAUUGGAAGCAUCAAGACGUUGAAUAUGACAAAGGGCAUGGAGCUAAACGGUGUGAAGAACAGAAUGCAACCCAGGCAGCCUGGCUCCAGAAUCAAUGAAAGGAUUGACAGUGAUUUAAAUGAAUCACAACCCCAUGAGCCCUGUCCCAAACCAACCGGAACUGACAUUGACCCUGAUCCUGACACAGAAUUUGGAGGGUUUCUUGUCUUGCCAGGGGUGAAUCCCUUGGUGUCUAGAUCAUUGGGAGGGUGAGGUUUACGGUUCCUCCUUGGGAGAAUGACAACAUGACCACCUGGGAUACAGAACAUGGCAAGAACAAGUUAAACUGUUUACCCACAGAGGUGGCUGUCCUGGGCAUUUCAGUUGAUAUAAGCUCUGGUCAUCCCAGUUGCUUUUACUUCACUGGGACUGUGAGAGUUGAAAGAGCUCACCUAUGCUACUUUACAUAAAGCUGCCUUGUGUUCUUUCUUUCAA